GACGAACGCUGGCGGCGUGCCUAAUACAUGCAAGUAGAACGCUGAAGAGAGGAGCUUGCUCUUCUUGGAUGAGUUGCGAACGGGUGAGUAACGCGUAGGUAACCUGCCUGGCAGCGGGGGAUAACUAUUGGAAACGAUAGCUAAUACCGCAUAAAAUUGCUUAUCGCAUGAUAAUUAAUUGUAAGAUGCAAUUGCAUCACUACCAGAUGGACCUGCGUUGUAUUAGCUAGUUGGUGAGGUAACGGCUCACCAAGGCGACGAUACAUAGCCGACCUGAGAGGGUGAUCGGCCACACUGGGACUGAGACACGGCCCAGACUCCUACGGGAGGCAGCAGUAGGGAAUCUUCGGCAAUGGGGGGAACCCUGACCGAGCAACGCCGCGUGAGUGAAGAAGGUUUUCGGAUCGUAAAGC
rnacentral:rRNA from 1 species